CCCUUCUUUGCCCUUAUGCUGCGAUGGAAAUGCCUCGAACCUGCAUUGACCUGGCAUGGUAUGGUUUGGCAUGCUUUUGGUUGACCGGCCAGAGUCCACAGGAGGAGAUGCCCCAGCUGCUGCUGCUCCUGCUGCCCCCAGUGCUGAGCUCAUGUCAGUAUUUGAUGGGCUAGGGGAUGUAAUGAAGCCCACUGUUCCCGCUCAGGCAGGUGAUGUUGACACCUCCAUGGCUAACAUGGCAAGUAAUCUCACAAUGGGAACCUCAGCAGCCCCUCAGGUAGCUCCCCCCAGUUGGGGUGCUCCCAUGUCCAUACCCAUGGGUCUCUCUCCUUUUAUGGGGACUCACCCCAGCUUCAGCAUGCCCGGGGCACCAGGUGUUGGAGCUCCCAUUAUGCCCAUGGUGAGGCCAGGGUUCCCUGCUACUGGAGCAACCCCUGGAGCACCGAUGUCUCCUGGAAUGGCCCAGAGCCCCAGAAAGCCUCCACCACCUAGGAAUGCUCUGGAUGACCUCAACAUUAAGGACUUCAUGUAGACUGACCACCCGUAAACACCCAAGGUUUGUCAUUGUGUCUGGAGCUCUGUGGAUGUGGAUGUCUGCACUUCCCCCACUGCCUUCCCUAAGUCAUGCCCCAGCCCUUCCGCAAACCAGCCAUCACACCUAUGAUCUUUACCCUCUAACCUCCUACCUGCCGCGACCCCUAAUAAAACCUGCCCUCCUUAACUAAUGUUGUAGCACAACUGUGAAUGUGAACCCUAGAUACAGAAAACAAAAUUCUGUUUAUGUGUGUGUGAGUGUGGGUGUAAUUUAGUGUUAACCUUUACUUAAUAUACUACCAAAAAAAUGAAUAAAAAAAUAAAUAAUUGUGUAUUUAGAUUCAUUCUGGAUUUCUGUGUAUCAGCUGACUUGGAAUGGUGGAUAUAUGUUGGUUUCUUUGCGCAUCUCCCACAUGAGGACUGUAUUAUUAAAUGUGGACUGUGUUCAGUGUGUGUAACUUCACUGGCCAACCCCCACUCCCACUCCUCUAUCCCUCAAACUAAUACUGAGCUAUGUUUAUGUCAUAAAACAUUUAGUUGUACCUAUAUCUGCUUUGCCAUCCAUCCUCUCACCUGUCUACUUCAAGAUUAUGGAGAGCGAUUUUUAAUCAAAAUGUACCUGAGAGAACAACCUGCACUGCAAAUCUGGAUUUAUCAUCAUGCACAUCAAACAGUGUUCAGUUCAUUUCUGCUUUAUCUUUUUUUAGGAAUUGUAUGGACAUGCAAAAAUUUGUGAUCUGUGUUCAAACUGACAUAUGCAUUUUUGACUAUUUUAAAUGAGAGAUUAUACAUAUUUUCUUUAGCCUUUAUUUUGAGAGGAAAACGAUGUAUCAUAUAUUUUUAGUUACAUCAAAAUAUAUGGUUGAAGAAAAACAAGUAGACUCAAAAAAAUCCCUCCUUUGUACAUACCUUUCAGUCUGUAAUCAGAGGCAGUAUUGAAUGGGUGCUGGUGUGGAGUGAAACUGUGUCAUAGCGUGUGUCAGGGUUGCACUCUUAAUACUCUCUCCUUGUCUCAGUCUCCACACAGCAUGACUUGAUGUUAAGGUGGAAAUCAAAGAGCCAAGGACGCAUUUGUGUAUGUGAUUGGACUGUGGCCUUAGUCCUCUUUGGGUCAUUUGUGGCGCUGCAGCAGUAAAUUUGGUCAUGUACUGUCAAUGGAAGCUUAGGGGACUCACUGUAAAGCACUCAAGUAUACGCUGGAUGUUCUGUGUGUUGUUUAUUUCCAAAAGUGACUGUAUCUUAACCCAUUGUGGCAUUAACGAAGUGCUGAAAGAAAAAUAAAGAUGACCAUGGCGCAUAAAAACAAUGCGGAUAGAUAAUGUUUGCUAAGUAUUCAUGUGAAAGCUGUGUUUUUGAUUUUCCUUUUCUCUGGGUUAUUAUGGAUGGCACUAUCCUCCCUCCCUCACCCCAACCUGCAUGUGAGUCCAAAUGAGAUGCAAUAAAAGACAAAUACACCUAUCCAAACGAUCCUCACGGCUCAUCACUAUUUUCUACUCUGCUUCUUUCAGUAGUUUUGUAAAAAAAAAAAAAAAAAAUCAGCAUUUUAAUUUGUUUUUUGCAUGGAUUAUUUUUGUUACAAGAUGUGUGUCUGUGGCAUGGCUACGACUAACGGUCAGUAACAGAGAAAAAAUAAGAUAUAAUACUACAUUGCUUACUUUUUAAACAUCAUAAUACAUACACAAAUGUUGUCUAGACCCAGUAUUUAACAUGAAGUGAAAGAGAACCAACAGGUUAUCAACAAAUAAACAUGUAUGUUCCUUUACAAAAGCAAAGAAAGGUGGGGGAUUACAAUGCAGAAAUAGAAUAGAAUAGAAAUAAAUGUUUAAAUAAGGAUAGCUUCAGUGAAUAACAGUUAUAUAAAUUAUGUGUUUUAAAGACAACUAUAUAAUGUCAAACUUUGAUUUUUGUCAUGUUUUUAGCAAAGGACUGACUGCAUGUGAUUUCCUACAGUCUCCAAAUGCACUGGCUGAUUGAAGGCUGAAUAGGCCACAGAUCCAGAACAGGGGGACACUUGUUGCAAUUAAGUAUUGCAGGUUUGUUGAUAUGGCUUCAUAAAGUGUGGCUCAAUAUGAAUAAAACAGUUUGGAGUAAAUUAGUAGUAUUAAAUACAUCUUUAUAAAUGUAAAAGUUCAUAAAAGAUGAAGUCAAUAUAAAUAAAAUCAACAGUGCAUGUUAGUCUGAUUCUUCAACUAAUAUCACAUCCUUUGAAAAGCCUUGUUCUCAUACUGUGUAAUUUCUAAUGCUGCUUACAAAGAAUAGUGAGUAGUUUUCAGUAUAAAGGUGUGCAUGAAGCUGUGAUGCAGUCACACAUCACCUUCAGAGAACUGCUAUUUGCUGGCUUUUCAUUUUACAAUUAGGAGUCACUGCAGUCAGCACCUUAUUACUUUUUUCUUUAAGUUUCUUUUAUACAAAGCACCUAAAUCCUAUUUUUUUUUCUUUUUUUAACCAAACACAUUCUCUCUCAUUAGUCAAAGUUCAGGACCAUUCUUUAGACCAUUUCAGCCCCUGAUUUUUGAGUCUCACAGAUCUUGUUUCUCUUGU
ensembl:lncRNA